CAAAGGCUUGGUCCUGACUUUACUAUCAACUUUAACCAAAUUUAUACAUGCAAGUUUCCGCGCCCCUGUGAGGAUGCCCUUAACUUCCUGCCCGGAAGCAAGGAGCUGGCAUCAGGCACACCUAAAAGUAGCCCAUGACGUCUUGCUUAGCCACACCCCCAAGGGAAUUCAGCAGUAAUAAAUAUUAAGCCAUAAGUGAAAACUUGACUUAGUUAGGGUUAACAGGGCCGGUAAAACUCGUGCCAGCCACCGCGGUUAUACGAGAGACCCAAGUAGAUACAAAUCGGCGUAAAGUGUGGUUAAGACAUUAAAAACUAAAGCCAAAUUUCCCCCUGGCUGUUAUACGCACUCGGAGGAAUGAAGACCUAUCGCGAAAGUAGCUUUACUAACCUGAAUCCACGAUAGCUAAGAAACAAACUGGGAUUAGAUACCCCACUAUGCUUAGCCGUAAAAAUUGAUAAUAAUUUACAACUAUUAUCCGCCAGGGUACUACAAGCGCCAGCUUUAAACCCAAAGGACUUGGCGGUGCUUCAGACCCAUCUAGAGGAGCCUGUUCUAGAACCGAUAAACCCCGUUAAACCUCACCUUUUCUUGUUUUUACCGCCUAUAUACCGCCGUCGUCAGCAUACCCUGUGAAGGACUUAUAGUAUGCAAAAUGGACACAAUCCAGUACGUCAGGUCGAGGUGUAGCGAAUGAAAAGGGAAGAAAUGGGCUACAUUCCCUAGCAUAGGGAACCACGAAAAGGGUUGUGAAAUCAACCCUAGAAGGUGGAUUUAGCAGUAAGUAAAAAUUAGAGUGUUUUACUGAAACUGGCUCUGAAGCGCGCACACACCGCCCGUCAUUCUCCCCAAACCUAAAACUUGUGUACUUAAAAACUUAAAUAGGACAAAGGGGAGGCAAGUCGUAACAUGGUAAGUGUACCGGAAGGUGCACUUGGAAAAC
rnacentral:ncRNA from 1 species